GCCGCCGUGAGGUAGCCAGGCCGAUCCGGCCCCUGGCCCGAAGCCGGGGGCCACGCCGGUUCGAGUCCGGCCGGCGGCC
rnacentral:tRNA from 1 species